UCCGUAGGUGGAUCAAUCAGUCAGAGGUGAAAUCCUGCAGCUUAACUGUAGAACUGCCUUUGAUACUGCUGAUCUUGAGUCAUUAUGAAGUGGUUAGAAUGUGUAGUGUAGCGGUGAAAUGCAUAGAUAUUACACAGAAUACCGAUUGCGAAGGCAGAUCACUAAUAAUGUACUGACACUGAGGGACGAAAGCGUGGGGAGCGAACAGGAUUAGAUACCCUGGUAGUC
rnacentral:rRNA from 1 species